CUGAUCAUCUUUUUCUUCUACUGUACUAUUAGAGAUAACCUCUAUCUGCACAACAAACGAGGAAGUGCACCACCAAGACCACCUUUUUUUUCAGAAGAAAAAUAAAAUAUAACAGCAAACAAAACCCUUCAACAUUUCUCAUUUCACUUUACCAAAAACCUCAAAAAAAAAAAACCACCAAAACAAUGGAAUAAUAAUCCAUCAAGAAUCCACAAAAUGGUGUUGCCCACAAAGCCAUUUUGCAUAUUCUCACUUUUUUUAGUCACAUUAACUAUUUUCAAGCUAACCCCACAAGUUAAAUCAUCAUCAGAUUACACAAAAUUAGUAUACAAAGGUUGUGCUAAACAAGAUUUAUCAGAUCCAUCUGGUGUUUACUCACAAGCACUUUCAUCACUUUUUGGUACACUUGUUUCACAAUCUUCAAAGUCUAAGUUUUAUAAAACUAGUACUGGUAAUGGGGGGUCUACAAUUAGUGGUCUUUUUCAAUGUAGAGGUGAUCUUACUAAUAUUGAUUGUUAUAAAUGUGUUAGUGGUUUGCCAAUACUUAUAGAUAAGUUAUGUAGAAACAAACCUGUUGCUGCAAGAAUUCAGCUUUUUGGUUGUUAUAUGCUUUAUGAAGUUGCUGGUUUUCCUCAAAUCUCUGGAAUGGAAAUGCUGUACAAGACUUGUAAUGGAAAAAAUGCUCCAGGUAGUGGGUUUGAGGAAAGACGGGAUACUGUUCUUUCCACAUUGGAAAAUGGAAUGGCCAGUAGCAAUGGCUUCUACACUACAAGCUAUCAGUCUGUUUAUGCUUUGGGGCAAUGUGAAGGGGAUAUUGGCUCAUCUGAUUGUGCUGAUUGUGUGAAGAAUGCUGUCCAAAAAGCUCAGGUGGAAUGUGGUAGCUCUGUUUCUGGCCAAAUCUUUCUGCACAAAUGUUUUAUUAGUUAUAGUAAUUCACCAGGCGGGGUCCCAAAAACAUCACCGUCAUCUUCAGAUUGGUCCCCGUCUUCAUCUUCAGGGUUAGGGCAAAAUGUUGGGAGGACGGUGGCAAUAAUAGUAGGAGGGAUAGCUGGAGUGGGGUUUCUACUCAUAUGCUUGCUGUUUGCAAGGAAUCUAAUGAAGAAACAUGACGAUUAUUGAAGGGGUCAGAUUUGUUUACUAAUUAAGACGGCGACGGGCAAAGAUUUUCUGAGUCCAGUCAAACUCCAAUACUGACAGCGACCCAUCAGAAACUCCAAGACUAACAGCAAGGUGUGCCAUAUUCAGCAGUUCAUUGCAUAUGUUUUAUCCCCUCAACUUGGACAAGGAGAAAAAGAACCGAAGAGACGGGAAUGGCAGGAAGUUUUCAAUGGUUCAUUUCGUGAUAAUGAAGAGAAGGGAAUCUUGUAUGCCACGGACUGUAGGAGUUGGACCAAUUACUAGUCUUUCUCGGUUAGGUUUUUAGAAAACAAAUUGCAUUGUCAACUGGAGUAUAUUCAUCCUAGCUUUGCUUUUGUUAAUCUCUGGAACAUCUUGUAUUACUUAACAGCAAAUUUUGCUAACUUGCACAAGGUUUAUGAUUCAUAAUGAGCAUUUGCUCUGUGGAAACUUUAGGAGUAAA